rnacentral:rRNA from 1 species
CAAGUCGAACGUGAAAGCUCCCUUCGGGGGGCAAGUAGAGUGGCGCACGGGUGAGUAACACGUAGGUAAUCUACCUUCGGAUGGGGAAUAGCAACCGGAAACGGUUGCUAAUACCGCAUAAUGCAGCGGCACCUAAUGGUGACAGUUGUUAAAGCGGGGGAUCGAAAGACCUCGCGUCUGAAGAGGAGCCUGCGGCGGAUUAGCUAGUUGGUAAGGUAAUGGCUUACCAAGGCGACGAUCCGUAGCCGGCCUGAGAGGGCGGUCGGCCACACUGACACUGACAUACGGGUCAGACUCCUACGGGAGGCAGCAGUCGGGAAUUUUGGGCAAUGGGCGAAAGCCUGACCCAGCAACGCCGCGUGAAGGAUGAAAUCCUUCGGGAUGUAAACUUCGCAAGAACGGGAAGAAUAAGUCGGUGCUAACACCACCGGCGAUGACGGUACCGUUUGUAAGCUCCGGCUAACUCCGUGCCAGCAGCCGCGGUAAUACGGGGGGAGCAAGCGUUGUUCGGAUUUACUGGGCGUAAAGGGCGCGUAGGCGGCCACCGCAAGUCAAUUGUGAAAUCUCCGGGCUUAACUCGGAAAGGUCAACUGAUACUGCGGGGCUAGAGUGCAGAAGGGGCAACUGGAAUUCUCGGUGUAGCGGUGAAAUGCGUAGAUAUCGAGAGGAACACCUGCGGCGAAGGCGGGUUGCUGGGCUGACACUGACGCUGAGGCGCGAAAGCUAGGGGAGCGAACGGGAUUAGAUACCCCGGUAGUCCUAGCCUUAAACGAUGAAUGCUUGGUGUCUGGGGUUUUAAAGUCCCCGGGU